rnacentral:rRNA from 1 species
AUUGAACGCUGGCGGCAGGCCUAACACAUGCAAGUCGAACGGAGUGGCGAACGGGUGAGUAACACGUGGGUGACCUGCCCUGCACUUCGGGAUAAGCCUGGGAAACUGGGUCUAAUACCGGAUAGUGUGGGAUGGGCCCGCGGCCUAUCAGCUUGUUGGUGGGGUAAUGGCCUACCAAGGCGGCGACGGGUAGCCGGCCUGAGAGGGUGGACGGGCACAUUAGGACUGAGACACGGACCAGACGGCUACGGGAGGGAGCAGUGGGGAAUAGUGCACAAUGGGCGGAAGCCUGAUGCAGCGACGCCGCGUGGUGGAUGACGGCCUUCGGGUUGUAAACUCCUUUCACCAUCGACGCGGUAGAUGGAGAAGAAGCACCGGCUAACUACGUGCCAGCAGCCGCGGUAAUUC